CGCGUAGGCGGCUUGGCCAGUCGGAUGUGAAAGCCCCGGGCUUAACCUGGGAAUUGCAUUCGAUACUGCCAGGCUAGAAUGUAGUAGAGGGAAGUGGAAUUCCGGGUGUAGCGGUGAAAUGCGUAGAGAUCCGGAGGAACAUCAGUGGCGAAGGCGACUUCCUGGACUAACAUUGACGCUGAGGUGCGAAAGCGUGGGGAGCAAACA
rnacentral:rRNA from 1 species